rnacentral:rRNA from 1 species
UACGGAGGGUGCAAGCGUUGUCCGGAAUCACUGGGCGUAAAGGGCGCGUAGGCGGCCCAUGAAGGCUGUGGUGAAAGUCCGGGGGCUCAACCUCGGAUCGGCCGUGGCGACUCGUGGGCUGGAGCACUGUAGAGGCGGGUGGAAUUCCGGGUGUAGCGGUGGAAUGCGUAGAGAUCCGGAAGAACACCAGUGGCGAAGGCGGCCCGCUGG